rnacentral:SRP_RNA from 1 species
GCCGGGCACGGUGGCAUGUGCCUGUAGUCCUAGCUACUCAGGAGGCUGAGGCAGGAGGAUCGUUUGAGUCCAGGAGUUCUGGGCUACAGUGCGCUAUGCCGAUCGGGUGUCCGCACUAAGUUCGGCAUCAAUAUGGUGACCUCCCGGGAGCGGGGGACCACCAGGUUGCCUAAGGAGGGGUGAACCGGCCCAGGUCAGAAACGGAGCAGGUCAAAAUAUACUCAACUCACCAAUGGAUGGCUAAAAUAGCAGAUCACACUUUCAGAUAGGUUAGAAGACAUAGCACAGGUCUGC